rnacentral:misc_RNA from 1 species
CAGUCACAGUGAGCACUCCAUUUUCCAUGGCAGCUUUAAUUUGAUCCAUUUUUGCAUUCUCAGGCAACCUGAACCUCCUUAAAAAUUUCCCACUGCUCCUCUCAAUGCGGUGCCACUUAUCAUUCUUCUCCUCCUGCUCUUUGUUCCUCUCUCCGCUGAUUUGGAGGAUUCUGCCUUCUUCUACCUCCACUUUCACUUCCUCUUUCUUUAGCCCUGGAACAUCUGCUUUGAAAAUGUGGGCUUCUGGGGUCUCUUUCCAAUCGAUUCUUGCAUUGACGAAAGCUGAAGUUUCCCUUGCUGAGGAUGGCGCAUUGGCAAGUGUAGAGGUGAAGAAGCCAUCUGAAGGAUCCCAAAUGUCCAGAGAAAAUGGAUCAAUCACAUUGGUCCUGCGGCUGCCAAAGAAGCUGGGAAUGAGGGACGAUGCCAUUUUUUUUCGAAGGUAACCCUGGAAAGAAAAUUGAAAUCUUCAAAGAGAUGAUCAGCUAAUCAGAGAGCUUCACUUUCCUUUG